rnacentral:rRNA from 1 species
UACGUAGGGGGCAAGCGUUGUCCGGAAUUAUUGGGCGUAAAGAGCGCGUAGGCGGUCCGAUAAGUCGGCUGUGAAAGUCAGGGGCUCAACCCUUGAAAGCCGGCCGAUACUGUCGGACUAGGGUCCGGAAGAGGCAAGUGGAAUUCCCGGUGUAGCGGUGAAAUGCGCAGAUAUCGGGAGGAACACCAAUGGCGAAGGCAGCUUGCUGGGACGGUACUGACGCUGAGGCGCGAAAGCGUGGGGAGCAAACAGG